rnacentral:ncRNA from 2 species
AUAGUUGGCUAGGGGUGCCGCGUGGCUGAGAGAGAGUGAUCUCAACCCUCUGAACCUGAUUUGGGUAAUUCCAUCGUAGGGAAGCUGGAACUGUGUUGU